rnacentral:tRNA from 1 species
GACUGGGCCUGGCGCGGGGUCCUGAGGGGCGUCGCGUCUGCGCCGCGACGCCGCCCGGGGUGAAGCGGCCUCGGCAGGACGCCUCUGUCGCACGGUCU